rnacentral:lncRNA from 1 species
UUAAUAUUAAAAAAUGCCAAAAAUAUUUUAUUUGUUUAUUGACUUCCAAUCUUCAUUUUGCUUCUGUUUUCUAUUAUUUGAACUUGAUCUUCUUUAUCUUUGGUCAAUGCUUGUUGAUUAUCUUAUUCCAUUUCCAUUAAUGCACUUUAAUUCUUCAUCUUCUUCUUCUUCUUCCUUUUUCUUUUUGAUCAAUGAGUUAAAGAUUAGUGGUUAGCAU